rnacentral:lncRNA from 1 species
UUGGACUUGUUUAAGUUGAUUUGAAUUGAAUUUGAGGUUUGACCAUAUUUUGUACAUUUUAAUUUUGCAUUUAUUUUAAUUCCAAAAAAUACCAAAAAAAAAUAUGUUUGACUUGUUGACUUCUGAUCUUCAUUUCUCUUCUGUUUUACAUUUGGUUGAUGGUGAUUUGAUUCACAUUUGAUCAUUGUGUUUUGAUUUCUU